rnacentral:rRNA from 1 species
UGGUGGAGUGAUUUGUCUGGUUAAUUCCGUUAACGAACGAGACCUCGACCUGCUAAAUAGUUCGGCGAACUUUUAGUUCGUACUGGCUUCUUAGAGGGACUAUCGGUUCUUAACCGAAGGAAGUUCGAGGCAAUAACA